rnacentral:lncRNA from 1 species
GUAAACAUCGGAUACCAUGUUAAUUUUUUUUUUGACAAAAAAAUAGCAAGCUACCUGUUUCAUUUAUAAAGAGAUAUGAACUUGGUAACAUAAGUGAGGCAGCCAAGGCCUCAAGAAAGGAGAAAACAAAACAUCAAAAAUAGAGAGAGAGAGAGAGAGAGAGAGAGAGAGAGAGAGAGAAGAAGGGAGAGGAGGGUUAAGCUACAAGUAUAUAAUUAGCAGCAUUGUUCUAACCAAUCCUGCCUGAAUGAAUGUAUACUACGGUGAAGAACUUGAGUUGGGCUUGAGCCUCGUCCCCUAAAGACAACACUAUUUCUUUCUAGCCAGAUUGCCCACAAUGUAGUUGAAAAUUUGGUGAGUUCAUUUAUUCGACUGCGGUUGUCAAUCUUGUUACAACAUUUCUCCCAAAAC